AGAGUUUGAUCCUGGCUCAGAACGAACGCUGGCGGCAGGCUUAACACAUGCAAGUUGAACGGGAUUUGUGUGGUGCUUGCACCAUAUAAUGAGAGUAGCGCACUGGUGAGUAACACGUGGGAACGUGCCUUUUAGUGGGGGAUAACAUCUGGAAACGGAUGCUAAUACCGCAUACGCCCUGAGGGGGAAAGAUUUAUUGCUAAAAGGUCGGCCCGCGGUAGAUUAGGCAGUUGGUGGGGUAAAGGCCUACCAAACCUACGAUCUAUAGCUGGUCUGAGAGGACGAUCAGCCACAUUGGAACUGAGACACGGUCCAGACUCCUACGGGAGGCAGCAGUGAGGAAUAUUGGGCAAUGGAGGCAACUCUGACCCAGCCAUGCCGCGUGAGUGAGAAGGUUUUCGAAUUGUAAAGCUCUUUCAGGUGUGAAGAUGAUGACGGUAACACCAGAAGAAGCCCCGGCAAACUUCGUGCCAGCAGCCGCGGUAAUACGAAGGGGGCGAGCGUUGUUCGGAAUUACUGGGCGUAAAGGGUGUGUAGGCAGUUUAGUAAGAUAGUGGUGAAAUGCCGGAGCUCAACUUCGGAAUUGCCAUUAUGACUAUUAAGCUAGAAUGAUGUAGAGGAUAGCGGAAUACCCAGUGUAGAGGUGAAAUUCGUAGAUAUUGGGUAGAACACCAGAGGCGAAGGCGGCUAUCUGGGCAUUUAUUGACGCUGAGGCACGAAAGCAUGGGGAUCAAACAGGAUUAGAUACCCUGGUAGUCCAUGCUGUAAACGAUGAAUGCUAGUUGUUGGAGAUAUCCAGUGACGCAGUUAACACAAUAAGCAUUCCGCCUGGGGAGUACGGUCGCAAGAUUAAAACUCAAAGGAAUUGACGGGGACCCGCACAAGCGGUGGAGCAUGUGGUUUAAUUCGAAGCAACGCGAAGAACCUUA
rnacentral:rRNA from 1 species